rnacentral:ncRNA from 2 species
CAAUCCUCGCUUAUGGAUGGUUCCGCCGAUACGAACGUGAAGGCGGAUGAAAUGGGAACACGGUGAGGCGUACCCAACAGGGGCCUAGACCGUGGCUGCCCCCGCAACUGUGAGCGGCGAGCAAAGCCCGACAUGCCACUGGCCGAUAAGGCCGGGAAGGCGGGCUGCGCAAGGACCCGUAAGCCAGGAAACCUGCCAUCCAAACGGUCGCUCC